GUACAUGGUACAUGUCGUGGCAUUUAGAUUGCCAUUCAGAAUAGUUCCAUUUAAGAGGAAAAUAAGGGUCUUUUGAACAAGGUUUUUGUCAUUUCAAGGUGAUAAUGGUUCCAGAACCCUCGUGACAGACAGGCUGAAUGUCAACAGUUUGUUGCUUCCGUCCUGGCGGGGCGGGGGUUUGUGUCCCCUCCCUCCGGUCCUCCCAUGUGAAUACACCCGAGGCCUGUAAGCAUCCCAGACUGGACAUUAGCAGGACUGAUGGCAUGGCAGAGAGACUCCCAGGGCCUCCUAAUCACACACAGAACAUUAUUGGCCCAUUUCUCAACUAUCCGUGAAAAGAAAAGCUAGCGUCAGCAUCAUUAUCGUUUGUCACUAACUCACCAGACUAAAGAGUGUGUGUGUGUGUGUGUGUGUGUAAGUAACAGAAGAGCAAGAUUAUUAAUUUAAGGAUCUUUGCUGUGCAGCAGAAUUAGACUGCUUUGUUUGAAUGUUUAAACUAUGGGAAACACAUAGACUCCAUUGAUUUCAAAGUUAUGUUAAAUCAUGUUGUCUUUUGUAAUUCAUCAUGCCUUAUACCUUUCCUUGAUGAUGGUUCUAGCUCUGUUUGUUGGACAUGUUUAGCUAGUUUUUCCUGUAUUAGCUCCAUAGGUAUGGAGUGAUUUCAGUACCAACAGAAAUUGUAUUUGAAUUCAAUCAUUUUGAAUUUGUAUUAGGAUAUUGAAUUUAAUAUUUGUAUUAUUAAAUUUGUAAUGCAC
rnacentral:lncRNA from 1 species